GCGGUCAUAGCUCAACGGGAGAGCAUCGCCUUGCCGAGGCGACGAUCCGAGUUCGACCCUCGGUGGCCGCUCCA
rnacentral:tRNA from 1 species